rnacentral:rRNA from 1 species
AGUCGACGAUGAUMCCAGCUUGCUGGGGGAUUAGUGGCGAACGGGUGAGUAACACGUGAGUAACCUGCCCUUGACUCUGGGAUAAGCCUGGGAAACUGGGUCUAAUACCGGAUACGACCAUCUGGCGCAUGUCAUGGUGGUGGAAAGCUUUUGUGGUUUUGGAUGGACUCGCGGCCUAUCAGCUUGUUGGUGGGGUAAUGGCCUACCAAGGCGAMRAMGGGUAGCCGGCCUGAGAGGGUGACCGGCCACACUGGGACUGAGACACGGCCCAGACUCCUACGGGAGGCAGCAGUGGGGAAUAUUGCACAAUGGGCGCAAGCCUGAUGCAGCGACGCCGCGUGAGGGAUGACGGCCUUCGGGUUGUAAACCUCUUUCAGUAGGGAAGAAGCGAAAGUGACGGUACCUGCAGAAGAAGCGCCGGCUAACUACGUGCCAGCAGCCGCGGUAAUACGUAGGGCGCAAGCGUUAUCCKKAWUUAUUGSSCSYMMMSMSCUCGUAGGCGGUUUGUCGCGUCUGCUGWGAAAGACCGGGGCUCAACUCCGGUUCUGCAGUGGGUACGGGCAGACUAGAGUGCAGUAGGGGAGACUGGAAUUCCUGGUGUAGCGGUGAAAUGCGCAGAUAUCAGGAGGAACACCGAUGGCGAAAGCAGGUCUCUGGGCUGUAACUGACGCUGAGGAGCGAAAGCAUGGGGAGCGAACAGGAUUAGAUACCCUGGUAGUCCAUGCCGUAAACGUUGGGCACUAGUGUGGGGGACAUUCCACGUUUUCCGCGCCGUAGCUACGCAUUAAGUGCCCCCGCCUGGGGGAGUACGCCGCAGCUAAACUCAAAGGAAUUGA